rnacentral:rRNA from 1 species
CGGGGCGCUCCAGCAGUGAGGAAUAUUGCACAAUGGGGGAAACCCUGAUGCAGCAACGCCGCGUGGAGGAUGACGCAUUUCGGUGUGUAAACUCCUUUUAUCAGAGAAGAAAAUGACGGUAUCUGAUGAAUAAGCUCCGGCUAACUCCGUGCCAGCAGCCGCGGUAAUACGGAGGGAGCAAGCGUUAUUCGGAAUCACUGGGCGUAAAGGACGCGUAGGCGGGUUUUUAAGUCAGGUGUGAAAUCCUAUGGCUCAACCAUAGAACUGCACUUGAAACUGGGGACCUAGAGUAUGGAAGGGGCAGGUGGAAUUAGUGGUGUAGGGGUAAAAUCCGUAGAUAUCACUAGGAAUACCGAAAGCGAAGGCGACCUGCUGGGACAUUACUGACGCUGAGGCGUGAAAGCGUGGGGAGCAAACAGGAUUAGAUACCCGCGUAGUC